CAUCCUUCAAGCUGAACGGAGCUCCAUGUCUUGGCGUGUCCUAAAAGAAGCUGAUCCGACCAGCUCAUUCAGUGGCAGGACGCAAGGACUCACUACUACCUCCAUCAAAGGGGAAGAAAGGAAAGGAGAAGAGAUAAAACUCAAUCAGUCCAACUGGCGACUUGUUAGCAGCUCCCAUAAAAGGGUUGGUGGUGAAGGAGGAAGUUGAAACUACAGUCAGUUUGCCUUUAAUGAGGUAGUUGGGCUCUUGAAGAACUUCACGGUUUGAAAAAAAUCACGGUUUGACUCACACCGCAAACGACACCAUCUUCUUGCGCUGCCUUGUAGAUCUCAUUCUAUCCAGACGGAAGUACUUUAAGAAAGCCCUUCCAGAUGGAACAGUGAAAGUUUAACUUUAAAACUGAUACGGGGGCAAAUGGGAGGCUGUUGAUGGCACAUGUUGGAGGAGAGAAAGCGCACUGCCCAUUUGUGAGACUCCAUCUCCACAGUCAACAGAGAGAGUGAUACUGAUUAUUUUCAAGUGGAGAGGGCCCAUGUGAGCUUCACACUUCCUCCAUGCGAAAUUGAAGCUGAAUCUGGACCAGGACUGAGUCUCAUUUAGUCCUGGCAAACUGAAAUAUCCUUAUCUAAAGAAAGGAGGUUUGAAGUCGAGUAAACAAGGCUCCAGGAUCCU